rnacentral:rRNA from 1 species
CACAGUAAACGAUGGAUGCCCGCUGUUGGCGAUACAAUGUCAGCGGCCAAGCGAAAGCGUUAAGCAUCCCACCUGGGGAGUACGCCGGCAACGGUGAAACUCAAAGGAAUUGACGGGGGCCCGCACAAGCGGAGGAACAUGUGGUUUAAUUCGAUGAUACGCGAGGAACCUUACCCGGGCUUGAACUGCCAGCGUACGAUUCAGAGAUGAUGAGGCCCUUCGGGGCGCUGGUGGAGGUGCUGCAUGGUUGUCGUCAGCUCGUGCCGUGAGGUGUCGGCUUAAGUGCCAUAACGAGCGCAACCCUUUUCAUCAGUUGCCAUCAGGCGAUGCUGGGCACUCUGGUGAUACUGCCACCGUAAGGUGUGAGGAAGGUGGGGAUGACGUCAAAUCAGCACGGCCCUUACGUCCGGGGCUACACACGUGUUACAAUGGGGUGUACAGAGAGUCGGUGCACGGCAACGUGCAUCCAAUCCUUAAAGCACUCCUCAGUUCGGAUUGGGGUCUGCAACCCGACC